rnacentral:lncRNA from 1 species
AUCAGGCCACUGCACUCCAGCCGGGGCAACAGAGCGCAACUCCGUCUCAAAACAAACAAACAAAACAAAACAAAAAAAACUUAUAGACAAGUACAAAAUGAGAAGAAAAAGUCCCUUUCCCUUCAUGCCUCUACUUCCUGCUGUAUUCUCAAAGGUCUUGGAGGAAGGCAUCCUUCUAUUCUACUGAUCAGAAAGCUGGACAAAGUCCCACUGCCAGGCUACACAGUUGGUGCCAUUUGCGGAGGCCCACCCGCAGCGGUCACGUGAAGGACCGAGCGCCGCGCGCCCAGGCGGGGCCUCCGGCCUGCACGAGGAGGGCAGAGUCCGUUGCGGCUGCCGCCCCGACGCCCGCGCAUCCCCGCUCGCCGCGCCCGCCGCCGCGAUGUCCGGGGCCGGCCUAGCCGCGGUGGUGAGCUGCCUGCGCCCGCAGCCCGGCGAGGAGCCGCAGACCCAUGAGACGUUACUAUUUUUAUAACCACUAGACAACGCAGGUUGCCGCAUACUUCUUUAUUUGUGUAGACCUCGCUCUUGCCCUGUUUGAAGAGUCUGAGUUGCUUCCCCUGCCUUUCUUGGCCACCUCAAUAGCAGAAGUACUCUGCCUGACUGCAUACUUUGGCAGACUGGUACAUUUUGCAAAAGUCACUCCUCAAAUGGUUUUCUGGAAGGAUACAAAAGACAUCUGCACCAUGGUAACCACAGUGGCGAGUGUUCAUUGUAGUACCUGUAAGAGUUUAUGACCGAAGGCAGGAGCCAUGAAGAAAAAAGACUCAAUAGAUUUGCUUUUGAUGAAACAACAACACUUCCAUACAGUGAACGCCAUAAGCACAACUGCAAGCAAACCCCAAACUGAAGAACAAAUAGGGCAAAAUGUGGCAGUGCAGACAUUUCAGCAUAUCAAGAGCACUUCCAAAUUACAGGAAAAAAAAGAUAUCUCAAUAGAUAAUUUUGCUGAAGAUAAGUGAAGGCAACUCAUAAGGAAAAAAUAUGUAAAAUGGCCGAUAGGAAAGAUGUUUAACGUCACUAAUUAAAAAUUAUAGAAUAAAACGACAAUAAAAUACCAUGUGUUUGCCUAUAAAAAAUCUUAGCAAGAUUGAAAACAAA